AAAUUGAAGAGUUUGAUCAUGGCUCAGAUUGAACGCUGGCGGCAGGCCUAACACAUGCAAGUCGAGCGGUAGCACAGAGAGCUUGCUCUCGGGUGACGAGCGGCGGACGGGUGAGUAAUGUCUGGGAAACUGCCUGAUGGAGGGGGAUAACUACUGGAAACGGUAGCUAAUACCGCAUAACGUCGCAAGACCAAAGUGGGGGACCUUCGGGCCUCAUGCCAUCAGAUGUGCCCAGAUGGGAUUAGCUAGUAGGUGGGGUAACGGCUCACCUAGGCGACGAUCCCUAGCUGGUCUGAGAGGAUGACCAGCCACACUGGAACUGAGACACGGUCCAGACUCCUACGGGAGGCAGCAGUGGGGAAUAUUGCACAAUGGGCGCAAGCCUGAUGCAGCCAUGCCGCGUGUGUGAAGAAGGCCUUCGGGUUGUAAAGCACUUUCAGCGGGGAGGAAGGCGGUGAGGUUAAUAACCUCACCGAUUGACGUUACCCGCAGAAGAAGCACCGGCUAACUCCGUGCCAGCAGCCGCGGUAAUACGGAGGGUGCAAGCGUUAAUCGGAAUUACUGGGCGUAAAGCGCACGCAGGCGGUCUGUCAAGUCGGAUGUGAAAUCCCCGGGCUCAACCUGGGAACUGCAUUCGAAACUGGCAGGCUAGAGUCUUGUAGAGGGGGGUAGGAUUCCAGGUGUAGCGGUGAAAUGCGUAGAGAUCUGGAGGAAUACCGGUGGCGAAGGCGGCCCCCUGGACAAAGACUGACGCUCAGGUGCGAAAGCGUGGGGAGCAAACAGGGUUAGAUACCCUGGUAGUCCACGCCGUAAACGAUGUCGAUUUGGAGGUUGUGCCCUUGAGGCGUGGCUUCCGGAGCUAACGCGUUAAAUCGACCGCCUGGGGAGUACGGCCGCAAGGUUAAAACUCAAAUGAAUUGACGGGGGCCCGCACAAGCGGUGGAGCAUGUGGUUUAAUUCGAUGCAACGCGAAGAACCUUACCUGGUCUUGACAUCCACAGAACUUUCCAGAGAUGGAUUGGUGCCUUCGGGAACUGUGAGACAGGUGCUGCAUGGCUGUCGUCAGCUCGUGUUGUGAAAUGUUGGGUUAAGUCCCGCAACGAGCGCAACCCUUAUCCUUUGUUGCCAGCGGUUCGGCCGGGAACUCAAAGGAGACUGCCAGUGAUAAACUGGAGGAAGGUGGGGAUGACGUCAAGUCAUCAUGGCCCUUACGACCAGGGCUACACACGUGCUACAAUGGCAUAUACAAAGAGAAGCGACCUCGCGAGAGCAAGCGGACCUCAUAAAGUAUGUCGUAGUCCGGAUUGGAGUCUGCAACUCGACUCCAUGAAGUCGGAAUCGCUAGUAAUCGUAGAUCAGAAUGCUACGGUGAAUACGUUCCCGGGCCUUGUACACACCGCCCGUCACACCAUGGGAGUGGGUUGCAAAAGAAGUAGGUAGCUUAACCUUCGGGAGGGCGCUUACCACUUUGUGAUUCAUGACUGGGGUGAAGUCGUAACAAGGUAACCGUAGGGGAACCUGCGGUUGGAUCACCUCCUUACCUUAAAGAA
rnacentral:rRNA from 1 species